GAGCAUUUAGCUUAGCCAGUGGAGUAUGGUGCUAUAAACGCCAGGUGCAGGUUCGAAACCUGCAGUGCUAU